UGGGGCUUCUCUGGGAGCUCUGUCUAGGCAAAGGAGUCUAGUGUCUACAGGAGCAAUGUUUCAUAUUGAAGAAGUGUCUUCCAGCCCCUGGUGGCACUUCUGACAGCAAAGGAGGACGAGUUACACUUGGCAGAUUCCUGGAGAGCCUUGCACGCACAUCCAUCUGACAUCUCCUGAGCCUGGGCCACAGAAGUGAUCCAACAGGAGUCCGUUGCCUAAUUUGACUCACGAUGCCUGCAGUGUCUUCAAAGUUUUAAGCAUUUACUAUCCAUUUAAUUAAAAAAGGCAGAAUGAAUAGCUGUCGUCUCUGCUGUGCAUAAUUGGAAAAUCUGGUGGGAACCGUGCACCUGGGAACCCGAAUUGGACACCAUUCCAAGCUUACAGAAACAAGUCACCUUGCGGCCUUAACAGUCUGAAGGCCCUGGGACAGCUUUCAGAGAAGCCCUGUUCUGCUUGCACCAAAUACAGAUUCCAACAGCUGUGGAUGGGUUACCUGGGAUAGGGUUGCUCCCUAGAAUGGAAUGACCAGGACAAUAUCUUCUGGGAAGACACCCUUGGGGAGCCAGGCUGCCAGAGACAUCCUGAGCUCCUUACCGAGGAUUCUUAUAAACCAGUAAGUUUCAUCCUCUCUGGAACAUCCUGGCUCGCAGUGCUAGAAGCUUGUUAGUGCUGUGCCAAUGCUUCUGUGCUUAAGAGACAGGCAUACUACCCAGCGAUACUUCUUCAAGUACUGCCUGGGACAUCAAUCAAACCUCAUCCCCUGGCUCCUAGGAAGGUGCUCCUGAUGAACA